rnacentral:rRNA from 1 species
UCUGGUUGAUCCUGCCAGUAGUCAUAUGCUUGUCUUAAAGAUUAAGCCAUGCAUGUCUAAGUAUGAACACUUUGUACUUGUGAAACUGCGAAUGGCUCAUUAAAUCAGUUAUAAUUUAUUUGAUGGUCUCUUUGAAUACUACUUGGAUAACCGUGGUAAAUCUAGAGCUAAUACAUGCAUAAAAUCCUAACUGGUCAUUCGUGAUCGGGAGGGAUGUAUUUAUUAGAUUCAAAAGCCAAUGCCAUCUUCUUCGGGAGGUGGAAAUUCUUUCAAUGGUGAUUCAUGAUAACUUUACGAAUCGCAAGGCCUUUUCGUGCCGGCGAUAGUUCAUUCAAAUAUCUGCCCUAUCAACUUUCGAUGGUAGUAUAGAGGACUACCAUGGUGUUAACGGGUAACGGAGAAUCAGGGUUUGAUUCCGGAGAAGGAGCCUGAGAAACGGCUACUACUUCCAAGGAAGGCAGCAGGCGCGCAAAUUACCCAAUCCCGACACGGGGAGGUAGUGACAAAAAAUAACAAUACCGAUCUCAAAUACGAGUUUGGUAAUUGGAAUGAGUACAAUCUAAAACCUUUAACGAGUAUCAAUUGGAGGGCAAGUCUGGUGCCAGCAGCCGCGGUAAUUCCAGCUCCAAUAGCAUAUAUUAAAGUUGUUGCAGUCAAAAAGCUCGUAGUUGGAUUUUGAAGUUUAUUCGUUAUGACCCACCCUAUUUUGGGGUGUGUUUUGUCGUGGCGAAUACUUCUCCUUUACUAGACUUUCACUAUUGCACUUAAUUGAGUGAUAGUUUCAUUUCGAUUUAUUGGGAUGAGUGGUGGACAGACCUAUUGGGUUAGGAUUGUGGAUGAGUCGCUUCUUCGGGGGAGUCUUGUUCUGCCUGAUUCAAUAACUGUUGAUUAGAAAUCUAGUUCUUUUACUUUGAGUAAAUUAGAGUGUUCAAGGCAAGCAAUUUAUUUUAAAAUUCUGCAAUGAAUACUAUUAGCAUGGGAUAAUGGAACAGGACACGUAUUCUAGUUUUUCGUUGGUUUCUAGAAUUUUUUUUAAUUUUUAUUAAUUAUUAGUGUAAUGAUUAAAAGGGACAGUUGGGGGCAUUCGUAUUUCAUUGUCAGAGGUGAAAUUCUUGGAUUUAUGAAAGACGAACUUCUGCGAAAGCAUUUGUCAAAGAUGUUUUCAUUAAUCAAGAACGAAAGUUAGGGGAUCGAAGACGAUCAGAUACCGUCGUAGUCUUAACCAUAAACUAUGCCGACCAGGGAUUGGAAGACGUAUUAUCCUGUUUUAAUCUAAGCAGGAAAACUCCUUCAGUACCUUACGAGAAAUCAUAAGUCUUUGGGUUCUGGGGGGAGUAUGGUCGCAAGGCUGAAACUUAAAGGAAUUGACGGAAGGGCACCACCAGGAGUGGAGCCUGCGGCUUAAUUUGACUCAACACGGGAAAACUUACCAGGUCCAGACACAGUUAGGAUUGACAGAUUGAGAGCUCUU